AUAAGUAAUCCUGUCAGUCAAAACAAGAUACAUACGCAUGUUAGGAUGUUAAAAAUUUGGCUGUUAUCGUUUCUUAUUUUACUUAUUCUUAAUGGUGUUUUAUCAAAUCCUCUGAAGAAAAGGGAAGCAUCACUAAGAACGUCACAACAAAGACACGCGCGAUGGAGUGACGACAUGUUCGGACAAGGAUGUAGAUGUACUUUCCAUAUACAUUGCCAUAGUGAUGAAGGGUGUCGCCAUCACGCCAUCGGUUCACAAGAGGUUUAUAGAUGUGUCUACUCCUGCUGUGGAACAAAAUGUGUCCAUCAUCACAUUCACACCAGUAAAGAGGUUGGCGCACCGGUGUAAAUGAUAAUAAUAACAGAAGCAGAACUGGUGUGUUAGUAGAAAUUCAUGUACAUAAAAUGUAAUAAUACUUUAUAGUGAUUAUGUGUGAUUUCAUUAAAUAAAUGAAGGAUAAUUUGA